CCACUGCCCAGGCUGGUCUGCUGGGGCGAGCCAGAGGUUUGACUUUCCUCUCGGAGAGCUGCACCCAAGGAACUUGGUGUCCCAGCGGCCUUCAAGCGCAUUUGGGCCAACGCUGCAGACACUUCUGGGGAGGCCAGUUGAGCCCUGUCUAUUUAUUGAGAAGCUGGCCUUUGGGAGGGCCUGAGCCACAGAACACAGUCCAGCUCAUUUCACUUCCAUUGUGACCUCACAGCUGCCGGGGAGGCUGGGCCUCACAGGCCUCUGGGAGGGGCCUAGUGAUGAACUUAGUCUGCGAGAGCUUUGUCCUCAGAGGAAAGGAGCCCGCGUUCCCUUAGCACUGCCACCAAGCUGAGACACAUGUUCCAACUCCCUGAGGAUCGUCUACUGGGCUGAUCUGUUCAACUUGCCUCAUGGAAGGGACCAGUGGAGUGCUGCACUUAACGAACUAUGGUGUCCCAGAGGCCCUCCAGUGCUGUUGGACUGCACUCUGAACCUCUCGAGACAGCUGCCGGGGAGGCUGGGCCUCACAGGCCUCUGGGAGGGGCCUAGUGGUGAACUUAGUCUGCGAGAGCUUUGUCCUCAGAGGAAAGGAGCCCGCGUUCCCUUGGCACUGCCACCAAGCUGAGACACAUGUUCCAACUCCCUGAGGUGAGAAGCUAGUCCCAAGGGGCCCUCCAGGAAGGUGACAUAUCACCCAGAGGUAGACAGACAUGGUCACUGACGUCAUCCCUGUAAAGGCAAGGCAUGAAGGAAGAACUUCAGCAUUUCAAAGCACCUUUUAGGGGCACCUGGGAGGCUCGGUGGGCUUAAGCAUCGGACUCUUGCUUUUAUCUGUCAGGAGGUGGCACUCUUGACUCACCUGAUAUGAAACUCUUACCUGGGCACAACAAAUGAAAGCAAUCGAAAGUGUCAGUAAGAAGACUGAAGAUACAACCACAUCAACUGAACGCUGUGGCCCCCGUCUCUGUGGAGUGAGAUGCAAGUUAAUGUAGCUCAUCAUGCCAAUGGCCACCUCCGUGAUGCUCAUCUCUGGUCCUUUUUUCUUCAAAAAGCCAACUUCUUACCUGGAAAGAGGCUAAACAUCUGUGAUGAUGGGAAGUAGGAUUCCAUGAUCUCCAACGUAGCUUCCCUGUCUAAAUGUCUGGAAGUAAGGCUAAGCUUGGUGUGUUUGUGGCAUGUUAAGGAGAGAAGUAUUUAUAGAGAGCAAUGUGACUGUACUGGCGGUAGCAAGAAGUUAGGUAGGAGAGCCUCUAAUAGGCCUUCCACUUUACAUGAAUAACUGAGGAGUUAAGCCUUUCUCUGGUCUAAUCAGGACACAGAAAAGCACAGAAAACUCAAGAGGAAGCUCAAGAUUAAAAAAAAAAAAAGUACCAUUUUCUUCUGCCACAUAAGUUCUUAUUCUUCAAGUACCAACUCAAGUCCCCUUCACCAACACAGUCAGC